GUGGCCUAGUGAUUAGGGCAUCCGCCUUAGAUGUGGGAUGUUGUGGGUUCAAUUCCUUGCAGAGUCA